rnacentral:rRNA from 1 species
UGGGGAAUAUUGGACAAUGGGCGCAAGCCUGAUCCAGCCAUACCGCGUGGGUGAAGAAGGCCUUCGGGUUGUAAAGCCCUUUUGUUGGGAAAGAAAUCCAGCCGGCUAAUACCUGGUUGGGAUGACGGUACCCAAAGAAUAAGCACCGGCUAACUUCGUGCCAGCAGCCGCGGUAAUACGAAGGGUGCAAGCGUUACUCGGAAUUACUGGGCGUAAAGCGUGCGUAGGUGGUCGUUUAAGUCCGUUGUGAAAGCCCUGGACUCAACCUGGGAACUGCAGUGGAUACUGGGCGACUAGAGUGUGGUAGAGGGUAGCGGAAUUCCUGGUGUAGCAGUGAAAUGCGUAGAGAUCAGGAGGAACAUCCAUGGCGAAGGCAGCUACCUGGACCAACACUGACACUGAGGCACGAAAGCGUGGGGAGCAAACA